rnacentral:rRNA from 1 species
CCUACGGGAGGCAGCAGUGGGGAAUUUUGCACAAUGGGGGAAACCCUGAUGCAGCGACGCCGCGUGAGUGAAGAAGUAAUUCGUUAUGUAAAGUUCUAUCAGCAGGGAAGAAAAUGACGGUACCUGUGUAAGAAGCCCCGGCUAACUACGUGCCAGCAGCCGCGGUAAUACGUAGGGGGCAAGCGUUAUCCGGAUUUACUGGGUGUAAAGGGAGCGUAGACGGCAGUGCAAGUCUGGAGUGAAAGGCGGGGGCUCAACCCCCGGACUGCACUGGAUACUGUACGGCUGGAGUGCAGGAGAGGUAAGUGGAAUUCCUAGUGUAGCGGUGAAAUGCGUAGAUAUUAGUAGGAACACCAGUGGCGAAGGCGGCUUACUGGACUAUAACUGACGUUGAGGCUCGAAAGCGUGGGGAGCAAACAGGAUUAGAUACCCUAGUAGUC